rnacentral:rRNA from 1 species
UGGGGAAUCUUCCGCAAUGGACGAAAGUCUGACGGAGCAACGCCGCGUGAGUGAUGACGGUCCUCGGAUUGUAAAGCUCUGUUAAUCGGGACGAAUGGUUUGUGUGCAAAUAGUGCAUAGACAUGACGGUACCGGAAUAGAAAGCCACGGCUAACUACGUGCCAGCAGCCGCGGUAAUACGUAGGUGGCAAGCGUUGUCCGGAAUUAUUGGGCGUAAAGCGCGCGCAGGCGGACUAGCCAGUCAGUCUUAAAAGUUCGGGGCUUAACCCCGUGAUGGGAUUGAAACUACUAGUCUAGAGUAUCGGAGAGAAAAGUGGAAUUCCUAGUGUGGCGGUGAAAAGCGUGAAUAUUAGGAAGAACACCAGUGGCGAAGGCGACUUUCUGGACGAACACUGACGCUGAGGCGCGAAAGCCAGGGGAGCGAACGGG